UUGAGGCAUCUCGGCACAUGCGUUUUCUGACUUCAUAUUCAUCGUUCUUAAUCUGAAGAAAAUAAUGCUGCAUACUAGAACUAUCAGGAAUAAAUAAAGGCAUGGAUUUUUCUCGCCAAUUGACAAGGCACCCAUUAUCUUGUAGUCAUCCACAAGGCACAAUACAGAACAAUUACAAUUAGGUAUUCACUAUCUCAAAGUUCAGCGUUCGUUUGAAUUUCCCUGUAUAUCCGGUGGUAAAUUUUCUAUUGAGGUACGAGGUUACGCUUCGGCUUAAAAUCAACUGUACUUAAGCUUAUACAACCUUAUGCGGAAACGUGUUUCUAUACAGCAGGAACAAUAACUGAGGUGGAUUGUCUAAUAUAGGAAUGACAAAGCAAAAAUAGAUAAGGACGAGUUGGGAUUUAUCGUUAUGGAGUUACUUUUAAAAUAACACCUUUUUUAAUGAGUUUAUUACACUUCAAUUUUCAACCCCAUUAUAGUGGAUCUCAGAGGCCUAAUAUCACAAUUGUGAUGUGUCGAUCGUCUCUAGUCAGGGGUUUACUUUCAAUCAAUUAAAAGAAGACGCAAUUUUAUACAGACAAAUUAAUGAAAUAAAAUGUUAUGCUGAAGAAAA